rnacentral:rRNA from 1 species
GAUGAACGCUGGCGGCGUGCCUAAUACAUGCAAGUCGAGCGAACAGACGAGGAGCUUGCUCCUCUGACGUUAGCGGCGGACGGGUGAGUAACACGUGGAUAACCUGCCUAUAAGACUGGGAUAACUUCGGGAAACCGGAGCUAAUACCGGAUAAUAUAUUGAACCGCAUGGUUCAAUAGUGAAAGACGGUUUUGCUGUCACUUAUAGAUGGAUCCGCGCCGCAUUAGCUAGUUGGUAAGGUAACGGCUUACCAAGGCGACGAUGCGUAGCCGACCUGAGAGGGUGAUCGGCCACACUGGAACUGAGACACGGUCCAGACUCCUACGGGAGGCAGCAGUAGGGAAUCUUCCGCAAUGGGCGAAAGCCUGACGGAGCAACGCCGCGUGAGUGAUGAAGGUCUUCGGAUCGUAAAACUCUGUUAUUAGGAAGAACAAAUGUGUAAGUAACUAUGCACGUCUUGACGGUACCUAAUCAGAAAGCCACGGCUAACUACGUG